GUAUGUAGUCUAGGUUGGACUCAUAUUCACAAUGUUCCUGCCUCAGCCUAUUAAUGUUGGGAUUGUAGCCAUCUGCCACCACACCUGGCUUAUGAAUUCCUCUCUCUAAAUUCUUUACCAAGAAUUGAGCUUGGCCAACACCUGAAUUUUGGACUUAAGGCACCCUAAGCAGAGAGAUAACUGAGCCACUACGGACUUCUGAUGUCAGGAUUGUGAAAUAAAAAUGAAAAGCUGUGGAUUCCUUCCAAACUAAUAUGGUUUGGUCAAGCAAGAACCCCGAAGCAAUGGCCCAGGUGAUCCAACAUCCAAAACAGCUGAGACCAUGAAGACUCAGACUACUACAGUCAGGAUUUGGACAGGUUUCUGGUUUUUCUCAGGACCCCCUUGGCAUUGACAGUGCCCCCAAACUGCAAAAAGCAGUUUAGGGAGAACAACAUCAACAUUCCCAAGGUUUUUCAUAACAGUGAGACACGACUGCUCCUGGCAACA